GAUGAAGAACGUAGCGAAAUGCGAUAAGUAAUGUGAAUUGCAGAAUUCAGUGAAUCAUCGAAUCUUUGAACGCACAUUGCGCCCCUUGGUAUUCCGGGGGGCAUGCCUGUUCGAGCGUCAUUAUAACCCCUCAAGCUCAGAUUGGUGUUGGGGCCUGCCGACUGGCAGCCCUUAAAAUCAGUGGCGGCGCCAUCUGGCUCUAAGCGUAGUAAUUUCUCUCGCUAUAGAGUCCCGGUGGAUGCUUGCCAGCAACCCCCAACUUUCUAUGGUUGACCUCGGAUCAGGUAGGGAUACCCGCUGAACUUAAGCAUAUCAAUAAGCGGAGGA
rnacentral:misc_RNA from 1 species